rnacentral:misc_RNA from 1 species
ACCAUUGAUGUAUAGCUUUUUUUCUAGGAGCAGUUAGUCAUCCAUCUCUAUGGGAGUUCAAUCAGUCGAUGGAAAGGAAGCCUUAUCUUGAAGAGCGUCUAACAGCCAAUACCAUCAGAUUUGCAGCUUUCUUGGCCGCCUGGUUCUCUGGCCAAGAAUGAGACUUGGGAGUAAGUAUAUUAAGUAUAUUCUUAAGGAAGCCGAUAGCGUGAAUAAUCUGGUUUCAGACCCUCAAGCCUUUCAAGCCCUACUAAGUAAAGUGGGAUCAUGCCUUGGCAGAGUUACUGGCACAAGCCUUCCACAAGACGACUGACAUAUUCUUGCUGUAGAACUCUUAUCUUUUUCAUCUAGCGCAAGGUCAACCCCACAAGCCAGAACUAGAAAGUAUGUUCCUGGUAGGAGUGGUAGAAGCGAUUGAACAGCUUUCCUUGGCUAAAGUAAAGGGGAUCGAUCCGGGGGAGGAGGAAUUGAAUCAUCAACUGUGGCACUGACUUGAGGAAUAAAGCAGUGAAUGCUGCCGAUACCGGAGCAGCUAAAGCAAUUGUAAAAGUAAGAUCAGAAUGCCGACGUCCCCAUGUGUGGCACUUUCGGAUUGCCGAUAUUCAAGCAUCUAAUAGAAAUGUACGAGGAGGGAGUAAGUUUAAAAUGCCGAGAAUCCCCUGCUGCUGCUAUUGAAUGCGCAGCUAUUGGCUCAGCUGUUAGGACAAAGACGGUGGAAGACUAGGCUGCAUCGAAUGCCAUGGUUCUUGUUCUCGAAUCAGCUGUGGGGAUUUUUUUCUCUAUAGAUGCGGCUUUACCGGGGUUAGCACUUUCCUGUUUUACUUUUACUCUCGCUACGACCCUGCUUGACCGCUAUGCCCCUUCUCUUGCUUGAGAAUGCACUGCUGGUAGGAAGAAUGCUGAGUUAAUGUCCGAGCAGGGUGAAUCAAUAGGAAUCGAAGCGACGAACUAGGAUCCUUUAAUAUGUCAAUUCUGCUCUUUGAAAGAAGCAAAUGGACAAAGCCUUUUUGCCGAUAUUACCACCCGACCUGAUG